rnacentral:rRNA from 1 species
UACGUAGGGUGCAAGCGUUGUCCGGAAUUAUUGGGCGUAAAGAGCGUGUAGGCGGCUCGAUUAGUCUGCUGUGAAAGUCCAGGGCUCAACCCUGGAAUGCCGGUGGAUACUGUCGAGCUAGAGUCCGGAAGGGGCGAGUGGAAUUCCUGGUGUAGCGGUGAAAUGCGCAGAUAUCAGGAAGAACACCCGUGGCUAAGGCGGCUCUCUAGUACGGUACUGACGCUGAGACGCGAAAGCGUGGGGAGCGAACAGG